CAGUCGCCGCGGGAAUACGUAGGGCGCAAGCGUUGUCCGGAAUUAUUGGGCGUAAAGAGCUCGUAGGCGGUCUGUCGCGUCUGGUGUGAAAUCCCGAGGCUCAACCUCGGGCUUGCAUCGGGUACGGGCAGACUAGAGUGCGGUAGGGGAGACUGGAAUUCCUGGUGUAGCGGUGGAAUGCGCAGAUAUCAGGAGGAACACCGAUGGCGAAGGCAGGUCUCUGGGCCGCAACUGACGUUGAGGAGCGAAAGCAUGGGGAGCGAACAGGAUUAGAUACCCCGGUAGUCCCUGUCUCUUAUAC
rnacentral:rRNA from 1 species